rnacentral:siRNA from 1 species
UUAACUUUUACUGCUUACACU